UAUCUUAUACAAUAUAACCUCUAUAAAUUAAUAAUCGAUAAAAUAAUAACUUCUAUAAAUUAAUAAAUUUUUCUGGUUCCGAGUUGGGACUAGUGUAAAAUUUGAUACAAAUCGAUAAAUUAAUAAGAUAAUAUUUUUUUUGAAAAUCCUAUGUAAAUAUAUGGUCCCAUCAAUAUUAUAAAUUAAUAAUUGUAUAAAU
rnacentral:sRNA from 1 species